rnacentral:tRNA from 1 species
GAAAAAGGAUAUUAAUCAAUAAGUACUGCUAAUCCUUAUAUACCGUGGUUAAAAUCCGCGGCUUUUUCA